rnacentral:rRNA from 1 species
UACAGAGGGUGCAAGCGUUAAUCGGAAUUACUGGCGUAAAGCGUGCGUAGACGGUAGCGUAAGUCGGGUGUGAAAGCCCCGGGCUCAACCUGGGAAUUGCAUUCGAGACUGCUCUGCUAGGGUGCGGAAGAGGGGGAGCGGAAUUUCCGGUGUAGCGGUGAAAUGCGUAGAUAUCGGAAGGAACACCAGUGGCGAAAGCGGCUCCCUGGUCCAGCACCGACGUUCAGGCACGAAAGCGUGGGGAGCAAACAGGG